rnacentral:misc_RNA from 1 species
CUCGGUAUUGCCCUCGGCUUGAUCCGUUAGGGGUUCACCGAUAUGAGCCGGUGUUUCCACAGGGGAUUACUCCCCUGGGGGCCAAUCGUCGAUUAGCCAUGCAACACCUAUCGCAGGCCCUUACGGACACCACGUUUCCGUGGCUUUUCCUGCGUAGUUCAGCCCAGGUAAGGUUCUUCGCGUUACAUCGAAUUAAGCCACAUGCUCCGCCGCUUGUGCGGGUCCCCGUCAAUUCCUUUGAGUUUUAGCCUUGCGGCCGUACUCCCCAGGCGGGGUGCUUAAUGCGUUAGCUUCGGCACAGAAGACGUCGAUAGCCCCCCACACCUAGCACCCAUCGUUUACGGCUGGGACUAC